rnacentral:tRNA from 1 species
CAAAACCUGAAUAUUUGCUUGGAAUCGUCAAACGAAUAUUAAACGGCGUUUUAAAACGUGGUUCAUCAAAUGA